GAAACGANUUAACUGACCCUUCGGGUGACGUUAACGGCGUCGAGCGGCGGACGGGUGAGUAAUGCCUGGGAAUAUCCCUUGAUGUGGGGGAUAACCAUUGNAAACGAUGGCUAAUACCGCAUAAUGCCUUCGGGCCAAAGAGGGGGAUCUUCGGACCUCUCGCGUCAAGAUUAGCCCAGGUGGGAUUAGCUAGUUGGUGAGGUAAUGGCUCACCAAGGCGACGAUCCCUAGCUGGUCUGAGAGGAUGAUCAGCCACACUGGAACUGAGACACGGUCCAGACUCCUACGGGAGGCAGCAGUGGGGAAUAUUGCACAAUGGGCGCAAGCCUGAUGCAGCCAUGCCGCGUGUGUGAAGAAGGCCUUCNGGUUGUAAAGCACUUUCAGUCGUGAGGGAAGGUGGUGUAGUUAAUAGCUGCAUCAUUUGGACGUUAGGCGACAGAAGAAGCACCGGCCUAACUCCGUGCCAGCAGCCGCGGUAAUACGGAGGGGUGCGAGCGUUAAUCGGGAAUUACUGGNGCGU
rnacentral:rRNA from 1 species